GACGAACGCUGGCGGCGUGCUUAACACAUGCAAGUCGAACGGAAAGGCCCUGCUUUUGUGGGGUGCUCGAGUGGCGAACGGGUGAGUAACACGUGAGUAACCUGCCCUUGACUUUGGGAUAACUUCAGGAAACUGGGGCUAAUACCGGAUAGGAGCUCCUGCUGCAUGGUGGGGGUUGGAAAGUUUCGGCGGUUGGGGAUGGACUCGCGGCUUAUCAGCUUGUUGGUGGGGUAGUGGCUUACCAAGGCUUUGACGGGUAGCCGGCCUGAGAGGGUGACCGGCGACAAUGGGACUGAGAGACGGCGCAGACUCCUACGGGAGGCAGCAGUGGGGAAUAUUGCACAAUGGGGGGAAGCCUGAUGCAGCAACGCCGCGUGCGGGAUGACGGCCUUCGGGUUGUAAACCGCUUUCGCCUGUGACGAAGCGUGAGUGACGGUAAUGGGUAAAGAAGCACCGGCUAACUACGUG
rnacentral:rRNA from 1 species